CACUUAUCGAGCUUUUUCACCUUUCCAGUUUGCGUCAAAUGCCGAACGACCGUAGAAUGGUGGACGUUGAGUUCUUCAGCAGCUUCUGGUGUAGUUGUAAGAGGACCAGCUUCCGUGAUUGCUCUCAAUUGGUGGUUGUCAACUUCCGACGACUGGCCGCUACGCUCCUCAUCUUCAAGGCUCUCCUCUCUUUUGCAAAACUUCUUGAACCCCCACUGCACGGUAACCGUGGCCACGUGGACCAAGCCAACGCCGGCUCCUCUCAUCUCCAUUGAGAUCAGCAAGGCAACUCCAGCCUGUACCACCAACAUCCCCAGGCCAGGAGAACAGCCAGUGAAAGCCCAUUUGAAAGACUGCCAUAUUCCUCACCAAUGCAUUUCUCAAGGCCAAGAGACAGGGUCUUGCUCUGUUGCCCAGGCUGGAGUACAGUGGAGUAGCUCACUGCAGCCUCGAACUCCUGGCUUCAAGGGAUCCUACCACCUUUGCCUUCUAAAGUACUGGGAUUACAGCACCAGUCCAGAAAUAGCUCCCCAGCCGCCCUGGCCUCCAGCAUGUUACCAUGGCAACAGAACCACAGUUCUAUAAAUAGAUCAUCAGCACCAAAUCUUGUGAGAGAGACAUCUGGAGUGGAGCCAGCCAAACCCCAGCUCAACAAAUAAAAACAGGCAGCUUAAGAAAUGGGCACACUACCAGUAUCUGAACUUUAACAUGAAGGCAGUUCAACCAGAAACGUGCCGGCCACGGCAGAUGCAGGGCUGUUUGAGCCAUGGGUGAGGGAGGACAUUUUAAAAGUUUUAAGCUGCGUUGUUCUCUUUUUCUCUGAGUUUCCUUAAAACUUUUCAUGAUCUAUACAAAUGGUGCAGUUUUCAGACAAAGUUUCAGGAGUCAUUAAGUGUUGCUUAAAAAAACCCCAAAAACUUCUAAAUGAUUUGAGAGAGAGAACGAAACCCAACAAAAUUCAACAAUCUGGCUAAGCUACUGUUAAUUCACGAAACUGGGACGACUCCCUGCCCCCCCGGCAUUCAAAACUGAGGUGGUUAAACUCUCUUAAUCUUGUACCUGUACUUAACUUCUGACUUGGAUCCAAAAUACAAAAUGCAAACAA